UACUCCUAGUCUAGAAAAAAUUUGUGGACAAAAAAAUAAGUACACAUAGUGAUGGGUCAGUUACUUCUAUUAGACCCGAAGCCAGGUGAUCUUACCAAGACCAGAUUAUAAUAGAUCGAACGGGUGAAUGUUGCAUAAUUCUCCGAUGAGUUUUGGUAAGCGGUGAAAUGCCAAUCUGACCUGGUGCUAGCUGGUUUUCUACCGAAACAUAUUUAAGUAUGACGUCUACACAAAAUUUAUGGAGGUACAGCAAGGCAAUUCCCAACAAGUUUAAGGGUUGUGUACGAAGUGCUCUCCUUAAGGAGCCAUUGACUCAUAAAGUUUUGAACACAUCAGCCUUUUAGGCGUUUAGGUUGCGGGGACCUCGAAAAUCUUACCUUUGGAAGCGAAUCUCGGAAUUACAUAAAUUGAUGGUAGAUAUUCAGACUACUCAUGCUAAGUUGGGUAGUCAAGACGGAAACAGCCGAGAACACUGAUCAAGGUCCCAAAUGAUUGUUAAGUGAAAUUAAGGACGUAGCAAUAUCGUAUACAGCUGUGAAGUGAGCCUGGCAGUCGCUACUUUUAAUGAUCGUAUGUAACAACGCAUCAGCAGUUUAGAUAGUAGCGCCGAAAAUUUAACGGGUCUUAAACAAUCAACCGAUAUCGUGUUGGUUUAUAUUAUACUAAACCUAGGUAGUAGAACAUUCAGUCAAACCCAUUAUAAAAUAGUGUUUCAUUAUUUUUUAGGUUACUGAAGAGAGAAUGCUGACAUGAGUAACGUAAAAAGAAGUUAUAAUACUUCUCGCCGAAUACGAAAGGGUUGCAAAUAGGAAAGGUUAAUCCGUUUUGUUUGAAUGCGGCCUCUAAGGACCAAAACCAAAGUUUUGGCUGAUGAGUAUAUAAUAGAAAGUCCAUUUUUUUAGUGGACCAGGAAAUGAAUAUUAUAAGUAAUAACAUUUUAAUGUAUAACUGCCCACCUUACUGCCCCCUUAUUCCCCCCUUAUUAUUAUUAAUACCUUCAUGGUAUUCUUAUCUCCGGAGGAAUCCGGAGGAAUCCGGAGGAAUCCGGAGGAAUCCGGAGGAAUCCGGAGGAAGGGAUUUUUUGUAGUCCUGGACCACAAAAAAGGGUUGGAGGAUUAUUAAGGCAUUCGGAUUUUUUAUAAUUCCUACAAAAAACCUUCCUUUUUUUUGUAGUAGGUUUUUUGUAGUAGGAGGACAAAAAAUUAAGGAGAGAUUAGAAGUUAAGAUUUAUUAUUUAAUUUUGUAUUUUUAUUUUUUAGCCAGUUGUUUUUAGAAGAAGAGAAAAAUCCCCGGCCCUGGCCCCCUUUUUAGAUUAAAAAACUAGUAGAAGGGGUAUAAAAAUACAAAAAUAAACUACCGUACCCUAAACCGACACAGGUUCGUAAGUAGAGAAUACUAAGGCGUAGAGCUAAAAGUUGUUAAGGAACUCGGCAAAUUCACCUCAUAAGCUUGACGAAAAGAGGUACCGUAUAUUGUUUGUAGGUAGUUAUUAAUAAUUAUUAAUUUAUUUUUAUUUGUAAGUAUUAUUUUUUUAAGUAGCAUUUCUCCUUGUCUAAGAAGAAUUUGAUUUUGAAUAAGGAGCGCAUAUAAACAUAAAACGGUGGCACAGAAUCGGAGGCCACGACUGUUUACUAAAAACACAUCACAGUGCAAUCAUUAAUAUGAUAGUAUACUGUGUGAAAUUUGCCCGAUGCCAUUAAUAUAAGAGAGGUCAUAGGGAACUGUGGCUAAUCGAAAAUCUGGUUAAUAGCGGUCUUAACUAUGAGGAUCCUAAGGUAGCAAAAUAAAUUGGCCAUUAAAUGUGGUCCGGUAUCAAUAAUGUAACGAUGGCCUCACUGUCUCUACAACUUGCUCAGUGAAAUUGAAUUACGCGUGCAGAUGCGCGUUGCCUCCAGGGGGACGGGAAGACCCUAUGCAGCUUUACUGUAGUUAGUUAUCACAUGAAUCUAGAACAAUCUUAAUUAAUAGUAAAUAGGGAAGUCGAUAGACAAAUACUGGAAACCUUAAAAUAGAGAUUGGGUUUUUGUUUACCUUAAAAUUAAAAAGAAAAGGGAUAGUUGACUAAUUGGCAGUUUGACUGGGGCGGUCGUCUUUAAUAGAG
rfam:Termitomyces sp. J132 unplaced genomic scaffold C248573, whole genome shotgun sequence.